rnacentral:piRNA from 1 species
UCUGUCAAUUUGAAUGGGAGAUACCCAAUU